AAAGCAGUUCAAAUACAGCAUCGACCAAACCUCGAUAACUCCAGGCUCCUGUCUCAGCUCCUGGGACUUCUCCUACGACCCAUGUGAUUCCCUCUUCAGCGACCACUUCACUUGUGGCUUCCGCUGCGACGCCGCCGUUUCGGGUCUCAGCCGAGUCACUGAACUCGCCCUUGACCAAGCCGGUUAUUACUCAGCUUCACUCGACUCGGUCAAUUGGGAAAGCUUGCCUUACCUCCAAAGCCUCGACCUUUCCAACAAUUACUUCAGCGGACCGGUUCCCGGUUCGCUAUCCAACCUAACUCGGUUGACCCGACUCGGCCUCUCGAGAAACUCUUUCUCCGGCGAGAUUCCCUCUUUCCUCCCCAUUAGCCUCGAAGAGCUUUCCCUC
rnacentral:lncRNA from 1 species